AGUCGAGCGGGCCCUUCGGGGUCGCGGCGGACGGGUUAGUAACGCGUGGGAACGUACCUUUCGCUGCGGAAUAGCUCCGGGAAACUGGGGGUAAUACCGCAUACGCCCUGAGGGGGAAAGAUUGAUCGGCGAGAGAUCGGCCCGCGUCUGAUUAGGUAGUUGGUGGGGUAAUGGCUCACCAAGCCGACGAUCGGUAGCUGGUUUGAGAGGAUGAUCAGCAACACUGGGACUGAGACACGGCCCAGACUCCUACGGGAGGCAGCAGUGGGGAAUUCUCCGCAAUGGGCGAAAGCCUGACGGAGCAAUACCGCGUGAGGGAGGAAGGCUCUUGGGUCGUAAACCUCUUUUCUCAGGGAAGAACAAAAUGACGGUACCUGAGGAAUCAGCAUCGGCUAACUCCGUGCCAGCAGCCGCGGUAAUACGGAGGAUGCAAGCGUUAUCCGGAAUGAUUGGGCGUAAAGCGUCCGCAGGUGGCAGUUCAAGUCUGCUGUCAAAGACUGGGGCUCAACCCUGGAAAGGCAGUGGAAACUGAACAGCUAGAGUGCGGUGAGGGCAGAGGGAAUUCCUGGUGUAGCGGUGAAAUGCGUAGAGAUCAGGAAGAACACCGGUGGCGAAAGCGGGUCUCUGGGCCGAUACUGACGCUGAGGAGCGAAAGCGUGGGUAGCGAACAGGAUUAGAUACCCUGGUAGUCCACGCCGUAAACGUUGGGCGCUAGGUGUGGGGGGCUUUCCACGUCCUCUGUGCCGCAGCUAACGCAUUAAGCGCCCCGCCUGGGGAGUACGGCCGCAAGGCUAAAACUCAAAGGAAUUGACGGGGGCCCGCACAAGCGGCGGAGCAUGUGGCUUAAUUCGACGCAACGCGAAGAACCUUACCAAGGCUUGACAUGCCGGGAAAUCCCCGUGAGAGCGGGGGUCCGCAAGGGCCCGGUGCAGGUGGUGCAUGGUUGUCGUCAGCUCGUGUCGUGAGAUGUUGGGUUAAGUCCCGCAACGAGCGCAACCCUCGUCUCGUGUUGCCAGCGGUUCGGCCGGGGACUCACGAGAGACUGCCGGGGUCAACUCGGAGGAAGGUGGGGAUGACGUCAAAUCAUCAUGCCCCUUAUGUCUUGGGCUGCACACAUGCUACAAUGGCCGGUACAGAGGGAAGUGAACCCGUGAGGGGGAGCGAAUCCCGAAA
rnacentral:rRNA from 1 species